rnacentral:misc_RNA from 1 species
GAGUUAGGGUCUCUACAGGCCCGGUCUCCAACCCUCUGUUGUUGUAACUAUAUCGUUGCUUUGGCGGGACCGCCCGGUCAAACGGGCUGCCGGUCUUCGGCUCGGCAAGUGCCCGCCAGAGUCAAACCAAACUCUUGUUUUUAACCGGUCGUCUGAGUAAAACUUUUAAUUAAAUUAAAACUUUCAACAACGGAUCUCUUGGUUCU